rnacentral:tRNA from 1 species
GACAGGGUGGCCGAGUGGUUAAGGCGACAGUUUUGAAAGCUGUUUCACUUUGUGAGCGUGAGUUCAAACCUCACUCCUGUCG